GAAGAUUCUAUAUAAGUUUUCAUCUUGAAAUGUUUUAUCAUUUCAAACUAAGAAGUUUGGAUUUUAUCCUGAGAGCACAUAUAUGAUGACUGAGAAAAUUCUAGUUGUAAUAUGAAGACCAGAGUGAACAAAAUAAUGCUGAAGGUAUUGACACAAAUGCUACAAAGGACCAGAAGGACUCUAUAUAGCUCUCAAUACCUGAGGAAUUCCACCACAGCAAGAAGGUAAGGGUUAACAAUGGUGUCUGACUUAAACAUUUAGAAAUAAUAUCCAUUGUCACUGAAAAUUGUACUUUAGAAUGAGAC
rnacentral:lncRNA from 1 species